GUAGGGAAUAUUGGGCAAUGGUCGGAAGACUGACCCAGCCAUGCCGCGUGCAGGAAGACGGCCCUCUGGGUUGUAAACUGCUUUUAUCUGGGAAGAAAAAGGCCAUGCGUGGCAAAUUGCCGGUACCAGAUGAAUAAGCACAGGCUAACUCCGCGCCAGCAGCCGCGGUAAUACGGAUGGUGCGAGCGUUGUCCGGACUUAUUGGGUUUAAAGGGUGCGUAGGCGGCUGAUUAAGUCAGCGGUGAAAGACUUCGGCUUAACCGGAGCAGUGCCGUUGAUACUGGUUGGCUUGAGUGUCGGAGGGGUACAUGGAAUUGAUGGUGUAGCGGUGAAAUGCAUAGAUACCAUCAGGAACACCGAUAGCGAAGGCAUUGUACUGGCCGACAACUGACGCUGAUGCACGAAAGUGUGGGGAUCGAACAGGAUUAGAUACCCGGGUAGUCC
rnacentral:rRNA from 1 species